CCUAAAGCGCCCGGGAAUUACGAGCAAUGCUUAAAACCCAAAGGACUUGACGGUGUCCCAGCCAACUAGAGGAGCCUGUUCUAUAAUCGAUGACCCGCGUUUCACCUCACCCCCCCCUUGCCCCCACAGUCUGUAUACCUCCGUCGCAAGCCCGCCACUUGAGUGACCCCCAGCGGGCUCAACGGCCCUAUCGCCAAUACGUCAGGUCAAGGUGCAGCCCACGGGAGGGGAAGUAAUGGGCUACAAUUUCUAAUCUAGAACAAACGAAAUACUGCAUGAAACACAGUCAUGAAGGAGGAUUUAGUAGUAAAAAGAAAAUAGCACAUUCUUUUUAACACGGCCCUGGGACGUGUACACACCGCCCGUCACCCUC
rnacentral:rRNA from 1 species